rnacentral:rRNA from 1 species
AGUGAACGCUGGCGGUAGGCCUAACACAUGCAAGUCGAACGGCAGCACUGUAAGAGCUUGCUCUUACGGGUGGCGAGUGGCGGACGGGUGAGGAAUACAUCGGAAUCUACUUUUUCGUGGGGGAUAACGUAGGGAAACUUACGCUAAUACCGCAUACGACCUACGGGUGAAAGCAGGGGAUCUUCGGACCUUGCGCGAUUGAAUGAGCCGAUGUCGGAUUAGCUAGUUGGCGGGGUAAAGGCCCACCAAGGCGACGAUCCGUAGCUGGUCUGAGAGGAUGGUCAGCCACACUGGAGCUGAGACACGGUCCAGAGUCCUACGGGAGGCAGCAGUGGGGAAGAUUGGACAAUGGGCGCAAGCCUGAUCCAGCCAUACCGCGUGGGUGAAGAAGGCCUUCGGGUUGUAAAGCCCUUUUGUGGGGAAAGAAAAGCAGCAGGUUAAUACCCCGCUGUUCUGACGGUACCCAAAGAAUAAGCACCGGCUAACUUCGU